AGCCUUAUGAAUCCUUGCCAAGAUUUCGUCAGUCACCAGACCGUUAGGACUGAUGAGACUCCCGAAAUAAGUAAAGCA
rfam:Schistosoma mattheei strain Denwood, Zambia genome assembly, scaffold: SMTD_scaffold0004359